rnacentral:rRNA from 1 species
GAUGAACGCUAGCGAUAGGCUUAACACAUGCAAGUCGAGGGGCAGCAUGGUCUUAGCUUGCUAAGACUGAUUGCGACCGGCGUACGGGUGCGUAACGCGUACGCAACUUGCCUCACAGAGGGGGAUAACCCGUCGAAAGACGUACCAAUACCGCGUACACUCCAUCUUGGGCAUCCAAGGUAGAGGCAAUGAAAUUCGCUGUGAGCUCGGCAUGCGUGCCAUUAGCUAGUUGGUGAGGUAACGGCUCACCAAGGCGACGAUGGGUAGGGGAACGGAGGGGAUGAGCCCUCACACGGGUACUGGGACACGGACCAGACACAUACGGGAGGCAGCAGUAAGGAAGACAGGUGAAGGGGCGAGAGCCUGAACCGGCCAAGUCGCAUGAAGGAUGGCUGUGUGAUGGAUUGUAAACUUCUUGUAGACGAGAGUAACAGGAGGCACGGAUGACUCAGUGAAGGUACCGGAUAAAGAAGCAUCGGCUAACUCCGUG